AUUGAACGCUGGCGGCAUGCUUUACACAUGCAAGUCGAACGGUAACAGGGUGCUUGCACCGCUGACGAGUGGCGAACGGGUGAGUAAUGCGUCGGAACGUGCCGAGUAGUGGGGGAUAACGCAGCGAAAGUUGUGCUAAUACCGCAUACGUACUGAGGUAGAAAGUGGGGGACCUUCGGGCCUCACGCUAUUCGAGCGGCCGACGUCUGAUUAGCUAGUAGGUGAGGUAAAGGCUCACCUAGGCGACGAUCAGUAGCGGGUCUGAGAGGAUGAUCAGACACACGGGGACUGAGACACGGCCCAGACUCCUACGGGAGGCAGCAGUGGGGAAUUUUGGACAAUGGGCGAAAGCCUGAUCCAGCCAUGCCGCGUGUCUGAAGAAGGCCUUCGGGUUGUAAAGGACUUUUGUCAGGGAGGAAAUCCCUAGCGUUAAUACCGCUGGGGGAUGACAGUACCUGAAGAAUAAGCACCGGCUAACUACGUGCCAGCAGCCGCCGUAAUAC
rnacentral:rRNA from 1 species